GUGUUGCUGCUCAGUGGUAGAGCGCUCGCCUAGCAUGUGUGAGGCACUGGGUUCGAUUCUUAGCACCACA
rnacentral:tRNA from 1 species